rnacentral:lncRNA from 1 species
GUCCAGGUCAAUAUAGGGCCUUAUAAUUUUCAUGUUUUACAAGAACAUGUUUAUUAUAAUAGUUUUAACAACCCAUAAUCCUUUGUUUCCAAAGAAGCAGGAUUGCAGGCCACCUUUUGCAGGCCCAGCCCAGGUUUGGAACAAGGCUUCCUCUGCAAAAGCUGGAUGCUGUGAGCUCUGUCAGCUGCAAUGCUCUACCCCACACCUGCCUGGGUUUCCGGAGUGCAUACUCUAUUUGGGAGCAAUGCCUGCCUUGAACUCCAACAGUAUUUUGUCAGCAUCUUUCCCCAAAGACUAAACUCUACAGCCUAUAUCAAGUAUCAGCCACUGGAGAAAGCCGAGAAAUGGAGAAAUUGAGAAACUUGGCAACACAUCCAGUAAAGAGCUGAAGCUUUUAUAACAGCACAAUACAGGAACAAAAAGGAUAGCUUUGGGGAAUGCCAGCCUUUCCAAGGCAAGUGUGAAGAUUACACAUCUCUGCUCACUCCCCUUGCCACAGAGAGAAGAAACAUGACUAGUGGAGUCAAUGCGGCAGUGAGCAGCAGGGAUCCUGUCAUUUCUGAGCUGAAGCAUUUCAAUGUUUGUUUAGAACCCUCCACCAUUCUCGCCUGCCACAUGGACUGAGGAGGCUUUGUGUUCCAGAUGGCAAAGCCACAGGGUGGUGGUGUCUCUGUCUGUGUGGAUCGCUGAGCCAGGCCAUGAAGUGAAGCUGCCUUAGAAGUUACCCAGGCCUGCAGCAGGAGCUGAAAUUCAACAUAUUGCCCUAAGAAGCAUCCAAAGCAAUUGUGUAUCUGCAGAUGCUUAUUGUGUCUACUGGGAGAUGGGGUGAGAGUGGAGGCUUUUCUUCCUGUUGAAAGAAGAAAGAAGGUUGUUGGCAUCUGGACUCAUGCCUCUACUUAGGUCCAGACUCAAACUCCCACUCCCUGGGAGGCAGUGACUGGGUGGCAAGACAGAAUGAGAGAUGCAGUGAGAACAUCUGGCUGAAGUGACAAGCAGCCACGCUGACUGCUGGUGUGCAGUUCUGAUGACAACCAAGGCAACUUCACACAUGACUGCACAAAGUUAAUUUAACAUGUUUGACUCUGCCAUUUCAUCCUAGUACCAUAGAUAAGAUUUUUUGAGUAAUUACUAUGUACCAGGCCCUAUUCUAAGUUCUUUGUGAAUAUUAAUUAGUUUAAUCCUUGAAGCCACCUCACUAUUGUGUCCAUUUUAUAGAUAAGGAAACUAAGGCCCAAGGAGGUUACACUAAUUACCGAAGGUCAAAUUAAUGACAGAGUCUGGCUCCAGAGUCCACACUUUUAACCAGAGUGCAACAGAAUCUGAACGUUACCCUUAUAACCAAACAGUUCACAGUAGUGUUCUGAGUUUUACUCCUAGAAAGAAAACACACACACACAGUCCCCCAUCCCUCUGUCCGACAGAUAAAUCCAAAACCUGCUGCCAGCUUACAAUUAGCUUGAAACUGCUUCUGGACCAAGUGUGGUGGCUCAUGCGUGUAAUCCCAGCACUUUGGGAGGCCAAGGUGGGAGGAUUGUUUGAAUCCAGGAGUUCAAAACUAGCCUGGGCAACACGGUGAAAUCCUGUCUCUACAAAAAUUACAAAAAUUAGCUGGGUGAGGGGGCGGAUAGCAGGUGCUUGUGGUCCCAGCUACUUGAAAGGCUGAGGUGGGAGGAUCACUUGAGCCCAGGAGGUCAAGGCUGCAGUGAGCCGUGAUCAUGACACUGCACUCCAGCCUGGGCAACAGAGUGAGACCUUGUCUCAAAAAAGACAAGAAAGAAAAGGAAAUAAAAAGAAAAGAACUGCUUCAGAUUAUCAAGGUUUCAGGAAUGCUGAUGUCCAGCCUCAGAAACUGCUUCUGCUUGUUUGUCUCUGAUAUGGGUUGGCUCUGUGUCCCCACCCAAAUCUCAUGUUGAAUUGUAAUCCCCACUUGUUGAAGGAGGAACCUGGAGGAAGAUGAUUGGAUCAUGGAAGCGGUUUCUCCCAUGCUGUUCUCAUGAUAGUGAGUGAGCUCUCACAAGAUCUGAUGGUUUAAAAGUGUGUGGCAGUUGCCCGCUUGUUCUCUGUCUCUCCUGCUCCACCAUGGUAAGACGUGCCACCUUCCCCUCCACCUUCUACCAUGAUUGAAAGUUUCCUGAGGCCUCCUAACCAUUCUUCCUGCACAGCCUGUGGAACUGUGAGUCAAUUAAACCUCUUUUCUUCAUAAAU